rnacentral:rRNA from 1 species
UAGGGAAUCUUCGGCAAUGGACGAAAGUCUGACCGAGCAACGCCGCGUGAGUGAAGAAGGUUUUCGGAUCGUAAAACUCUGUUGUUAGAGAAGAACAAGGACGUUAGUAACUGAACGUCCCCUGACGGUAUCUAACCAGAAAGCCACGGCUAACUACGUGCCAGCAGCCGCGGUAAUACGUAGGUGGCAAGCGUUGUCCGGAUUUAUUGGGCGUAAAGCGAGCGCAGGCGGUUUCUUAAGUCUGAUGUGAAAGCCCCCGGCUCAACCGGAGGGUCAUUGGAAACUGGGAGACUUGAGUGCAGAAGAGGAGAGUGGAAUUCCAUGUGUAGCGGUGAAAUGCGUAGAUAUAUGGAGGAACACCAGUGGCGAAGGCGGCUCUCUGGUCUGUAACUGACGCUGAGGCUCGAAAGCGUGGGGAGCAAACAGG